rnacentral:rRNA from 1 species
GUGAAAAAUGUCAGAUUUUUAGUUAAGAUUGAUUCUGUCUUGGGUUAAUUGGUUUUAUUUUGAUAGUUUUAUAUACAAGCUUUUGCGCGUUGAAUUUUUAUCUUAAGGAUAAAUUGUGUUGUUAUUUGUAGUUCUUGAUUUUGGUGUUUUUGGAAACAUAGACUCAGUUAAUUGAAUAAAAGGCUGUUGAAAAUUGUGCCAGCAGACGCGGUUAUACAAUUAGCUUAAAUCAGUUUUCUUGGUUAGUAUUUAUUUGUUUUGUUAGAGAUUUAAUUGAUUAUUUAUU